rnacentral:misc_RNA from 1 species
AAUCCACUGUUACUGAAGUAAGGUAUGUCUUGUCUAAAAACAGAUUUUAUAUGUUCUCAUUUUUUGCUUGUACCUUUUUUCCCUCCUGUUCUUUCUCAUUAUGCUUCUUACAACUAUGCUGGAAUGAGCUCUUCCCUGGUUGCUGAUGCAUCUGGGGUAACUUUUUUAGGAACUUGGCUUUCCGGUCUUUUUUUUUAGUAGCUGAUUAUCCAU